CCCCAGCGGGUGGUGGGCCGGGCCGGGCCCGCCUGCUGACCGCCAGCCGCGGGCCACCCCAAAAAGCCAACUACAGCCACGUGCGCGGGUGUGGCCAGCUCCCGCCCCCAGAGCAGCAGUUGCCCUAGAAAAAUCUCAACACGAAACCAAGUCUUACGAAGGACGGUGUAGGAAACUAGUACCCCGUGACUGAUCCCCCAACGGGAGCAGCGGUUGACAAUAUAGUAAUAAUGAUAGAAAGCAGGUGUGUCCUUAACACUAGCAAACAGACCUAGGAAGUCAGCAGUUCUCAGUGCUUUACUCCAGAGACCAACUCAGGACAUCUGAAUACCUGGUCCUGCAACCCUUAUGAGAAAAGUCCUUAAUCACAUGAGUAGCCCAACUGAAAUCAGUGGAACUACUUGGGCAUGAGGACUACUCCUACUUUUUUGCAUCAGAGCUGAAAGAAACUGCAGCAAAGCAUUGCGUCACCUUUGGACUUCAGCUUGACAAGAUGCAUUUAUUUCAAUGACAACUAGAUGUGGUUAUUCUGAAGAAAGGAAGAAAUGAAUGUAUUAAUAACUUGUUUCUUGUGAAACAAAUUCUGCAUUCAUAUUAAUACAAAUAAUAUUCUGAACAUUUAGUUUUUACUAUGUUAAUUUUUCAAAUUAUUAUUUUUAACGUAUUGAGGAAUUAAGUCUUCUCUCAAUGAACAUUUAAUGCCCAGCUACAUGGGGCCAUUUACACUAUGGAUAAGCAGUUUAGGAAAUCCAGAUACCACAGAAUUGUCUCCCAACAUAGUUAAACACAAUACCAUUUUGUAGCGUACACUGAUCCUAA